GCAAGUCGAGCGAAGCUUUUCAGUAGUUUACUACAGAAAAUGACUGAGCGGCGAACGGGUGAGUAACGCGUGAGCAAUCUACCUUAGUUACAGGGAUAGCCCGAGGAAACUCGGAUUAAUACCUGAUAUUCUUCAAAUUUCGCAUGAAAUUAAAAGGAAAGGUCAGCCGAACUAAGAUGAGCUCGCGUUCUAUCAGCUAGUUGGUGAGGUAAAAGCUCACCAAGGCAACGACGGAUAGCUGGUCUGAGAGGACGAUCAGCCACACUGGGACUGAGACACGGCCCAGACUCCUACGGGAGGCUGCAGCAGGGAAUAUUGCGCAAUGAGCGAAAGCUUGACGCAGCGACACCGCGUGUGGGAUGACGGAUCUAGGUUUGUAAACCACUUUCAGGAGGGAAGAAAAUGACGGUACCUCCACAAGAAGCCCCGGCCAACUACGUGCCAGCAGCCGCGGUAAUACGUAGGGGGCGAGCGUUGCCCGGAUUUAUUGGGCGUAAAGAGCUCGUAGGCGGUUCAACAAGUCGGUCGUAAAAGUUCAGGGCUCAACCCUGAAAUGUCGAUCGAUACUGUUGUGACUAGGAUACGGUAGAGGUGAGUGGAAUUCCGAGUGUAGCGGUGAAAUGCGUAGAUAUUCGGAGGAACACCAAUUGCGAAGGCAGCUCACUGGGCCGCUAUCGACGCUGAGGAGCGAAAGCUAGGGGAGCAAACAGGAUUAGAUACCCUGGUAGUCCUAGCUGUAAACGAUGGAUACUAGACGUAGGAACUGGAUUGACGGUUUCUGUGUCGUAGCUAACGCGUUAAGUAUCCCGCCUGGGGAGUACGGUCGCAAGACUAAAACUCAAAGGAAUUGACGGGACCCCGCACAAGCGGCGGAGCAUGCGGCUUAAUUCGAUGAUACCCGUAGAACCUUACCUGGACUUGACAUAUAGGGUCAAGCUAUAGAGAUAUAGUGUGCAUUAGCGCCCUAUA
rnacentral:rRNA from 1 species